rnacentral:lncRNA from 1 species
UAGUACCAGAAACAAAAACGACACGAAAUGUUAACAUACGCAAAUUGCUAUUCAAUUAAUGUUUCAAGUCCUAACAAAAAGCGGUUGGAUUCCAAACCCGAAUUUUGAUACCUAAUAAAAGCUAUAAUUUAAGAAUUAAUUCACGCAUGAAAUGGAUCUUGUUUUUUAAAUACUGUUCAUUCAACAAACCAUCACGGACAAAUAUUGCUAUCUACCGCAUGUUUUUUCCUGAUAUCGGAAC